rnacentral:lncRNA from 10 species
UACAGAGCUCUCUCUCAGUGUUCUUUACCUGUCUCCAUGCUCCCUCCCUCCAUCUUCCAGGAACUGUCUCUACCUGUGGGGAUGGACAGCAGCAUCUAGCCUAGAGGAACCCUCUGAGGUUUGAUCAAUGAGAGACAUCAGCAGGAGAGAAGGGGACAGGAAAAGAAGGAGGUAGGGGUUUAUUCUUCUCCGGUCCACUGCAGAUUGGCGGUGUUCCUCCUCAUCGGCCACAGCUCUGGGGUUGGGUAGCUGCUCCCUCCUUGCCCUUUCAGGCCUAGGAUUGGUACCAGUUCCCUGCCCUUACUGACCCUAGGAUACUGAACUAUCCCUUUUUGUUUUCCC